AUUGAACGCUGGCGGCAGGCCUAACACAUGCAAGUCGAACGAGUGGCGGACGGGUGAGUAAUGUCUGGGAAACUGCCCGAUGGAGGGGGAUAACUACUGGAAACGGUAGCUAAUACCGCAUACCAUCGGAUGUGCCCAGAUGGGAUUAGCUUGUAGGUGAGGUAACGGCUCACCUAGGCGACGAUCCCUAGCUGGUCUGAGAGGAUGACCAGCAACACUGGAACUGAGACACGGUCCAGAAGCCUACGGGAGGGAGAAGUGGGGAAUAUUGCAAAAUGGGCGCAAGCCGGAUGCAGCCAUGCCGCGUGUAUGAAGAAGGCCUGAGGGUUGUAAAGUACUUUCAGCCGGGAGGCGUUACCCACAGAAGAAGCACCGGCUAACUCCGGGCCAGCAGCCGCGGUAAUAC
rnacentral:rRNA from 1 species